GUGGGGAAUAUUGGACAAUGGGGGGAACCCUGAUCCAGCCAUGCCGCGUGUGUGAAGAAGGCCUUUUGGUUGUAAAGCACUUUAAGUUGGGAGGAAGGGCAGUAAGUUAAUACCUUGCUGUUUUGACGUUACCGACAGAAUAAGCACCGGCUAACUUCGUGCCAGCAGCCGCGGUAAUACGAAGGGUGCAAGCGUUAAUCGGAAUUACUGGGCGUAAAGCGCGCGUAGGUGGUUUUGUAAGUUGGAGGUGAAAUCCCCGGGCUCAACCUGGGAACUGCCUCCAAAACUGCAUGACUAGAGUACGGUAGAGGGUAGUGGAAUUUCCUGUGUAGCGGUGAAAUGCGUAGAUAUAGGAAGGAACACCAGUGGCGAAGGCGACUACCUGGACUGAUACUGACACUGAGGUGCGAAAGCGUGGGGAGCAAACAGGAUUAGAAACCCUUGUAGUCC
rnacentral:rRNA from 1 species